UGGGGAAUAUUGGACAAUGGGCGCAAGCCUGAUCCAGCCAUGCCGCGUGAGUGAUGAAGGCCUUAGGGUUGUAAAGCUCUUUCGCCGGUGAAGAUAAUGAUGGUAACCGGAGAAGAAGCCCCGGCUAACUUCGUGCCAGCAGCCGCGGUAAUACGAAGGGGGCUAGCGUUGCUCGGAAUCACUGGGCGUAAAGCGCACGUAGGCGGAUCGUUAAGUCAGGGGUGAAAUCCUGGAGCUCAACUCCAGAACUGCCCUUGAUACUGGCGAUCUCGAGUUCGAGAGAGGUUGGUGGAACUCCGAGUGUAGAGGUGAAAUUCGUAGAUAUUCGGAAGAACACCAGUGGCGAAGGCGGCCAACUGGCUCGAUACUGACGCUGAGGUGCGAAAGCGUGGGGAGCAAAACAGGAUUAGAUACCCUGGUAGUCCACGCCGUAAAACGAUGGAUGCUAGCCGUUGGGGGGUUUACCUCUCAGUGGCGCAGCUAACGCCUUAAGCAUCCCGCCUGGGGAGUACGGUCGCAAGAUUAAAACUCAAAUGAAUUGACGGGGUCAUAGCUGUUUCCU
rnacentral:rRNA from 1 species